rnacentral:rRNA from 1 species
CGAGGCGAACCGGGGAAACUGAAACAUCUCAGUACCCCGAGGAAAAGAAAUCAACCGAGAUUCCCCCAGUAGCGGCGAGCGAACAGGGAGCAGCCCAGAGUCAACAUCAAUAUUUACCGCAGGAGAAAGAUCUGGAAAGGCCGGCAAUAAAGGGUGAUAGCCCCGUAUCUGAAGCGGUAAGUGUUGUGAACUCGAAGAGUAAGGCGGGACACGUGUUAUCCUGUCUGAAUAUGGGGGGACCAUCCUCCAAGGCUAAAUACUCCUGACUGACCGAUAGUGAACCAGUACCGUGAGGGAAAGGCGAAAAGAACCCCGGCGAGYGGAGUGAAAUAGAACCUGAAACCGUGUACGUACAAGCAGUAGGAGCACCCGAAAAGGUGUGACUGCGUACCUUUUGUAUAAUGGGUCAGCGACUUAUAUUCUGUAGCAAGGUUAACCGCAUAGGGGAGCCGUAGGGAAACCGAGUCUUAACUGGGCGUUAAGUUGCAGGGUAUAGACCCGAAACCCGGUGAUCUAGCCAUGGGCAGGUUGAAG